UAUAAUUUUUCCAAUGUAGAAAUAAUUUUCUGUAACAGACUUUUUUUCAUACAAAAAUAGUUCUUGUAGUUUUUCAAAAAAAAAUUUAACAUGAUUUUUUUUUAGUCUUCAUGCAGACUGAAAUCUUGCUGCUCGUAGAAAGGACUGGUCUACAAAAAGGUUGUGGCACCUCCAGUGUCCUGGGUCUCGUUGUGCUAGGUCAUGUCCUUACUCUCCCUGGUGCAGUGUGGUUUCGUUUACUACUGGGAGCAACAGGAGGCAACAUCUGCUUGGAGAGGGAGAGGAGCUGGGAGCGCUUCAUCUGUAGGCAGCGUCUAGUUCCGAGGAUCACAGGGGAAGGAGAGAAGAGAUUGAAUUGUCUGACACAUACGUAGUCUGCAGAGCAUAGUUACCAAAAAGUGAUAAUCCUUAAUAGCUUGCAGGUCAGCGAGACGUGGGUGGUUGGGGUCUCCCAGUGUGAUUGAAAAAAGGCGCUGGUGGGGAGAAGCUGCCAGCACCCAGGAGCGUGGAUGUGACAGAUCCUACGAGGGUCUCCACAGGCAGCUGUCAGCGCUCACAACAUGAAGGCAAUUUAAUCCCAAUUUAAUCCGCCUCUG